CGGACUAUUGGCCUGUACACUCUCAAGGUUAGGUUAGCACCAGAUUCGGACUAUUGGCCUGUACACUCUCAAGGUUAGGUUAGCCACAGAUUCGGACUAUUGGCCUGUACACUCUCAAGGUUAGGAUAGCACCAGAUUCGGACUAUUGGCCUGUACACUCUCAAGGUUAGGAUAGCACCAGAUUCGGACUAUUGGCCUGUACACUCUCAAGGUUAGGAUAGCACCAGAUUCGGACUAUUGGCCUGUACACUCUCAAGGUUAGGUUAGCACCAGAUUCGGACUAUUGGCCUGUACACUCUCAAGGUUAGGAUAGCACCAGAUUCGGACUAUUGGCCUGUACACUCUCAAGGUUAGGUUAGCACCAGAUUCGGACUAUUGGCCUGUACACUCUCAAGGUUAGGAUAGCACCAGAUUCGGACUAUUGGCCUGUACACUCUCAAGAAGAAAACAGCAGCAGUUUGGGGGAUGGAUUCAAAAAUAUAAAGAAAUAUGGCAAAGUGCAUUUAGAGAAGAAUACAGUCCUGGGGCAUUAU